rnacentral:tRNA from 1 species
GAAUCUAUAAGCUCAAAUUUGGUAGAGCGCUCAAUUGCUAUGAUGCCUUGAGAGGUUGGUGGUUCGAAUCCGCCUGGAUUCC